rnacentral:ncRNA from 1 species
CUUAUCAAGAGCGGCUGAGGUACUGGACCUGUGAAGCCCGGCAACCUGAUUUGUGCAUUGCAUAAAAAAAGGUGCUAAUUCCUGCGGAUAAUUCCGAGAGAUGAGG